rnacentral:rRNA from 1 species
UUUAAAUGGCCGCAGUAUACUAACUGUGCAAAGGUAGCAUAAUCAUUAGUCUUUUAAUUGAAGGCUGGUAUGAAUGGUUGGACGAGAUAUUAACUGUUUCAUAAAAAUUUAUAUUAGAAUUUUAUUUUUUAGUCAAAAAGCUAAAAUUUAUUUAAAAGACGAGAAGACCCUAUAAAUCUUUAUAUUUAAAUUAUUAUAAUUUUAUAGAUUAUUUUUAUUAUAAUAAUUAAUAAUAUUUUAUUGGGGUGAUAUUAAAAUUUAAUAAACUUUUAAUUUUUAAAAUCAUUGAUUUAUGAAUAAUUGAUCCGUUAUUAACGAUUAAAAAAAUAAGUUACUUUAGGGAUAACAGCGUAAUUUUUUUGGAGAGUUCAUAUCGAUAAAAAAGAUUGCGACCUCGAUGUUGGAUUAAGAUAUAAUUUUAGGUGUAGCCGCUUAAAUUUUAAGUCUGUUCGACUUUUAA